AGAGUGAACGCUGGGCGGCGUGCCUAAUACAUGCAAGUCGAACGGAGAUUUAAGGAGGGCUUUGCUUCUUUUUAAUCUUUAGUGGCGCACGGGUGAGUAAUGUAUAGUUAAUCUGCCCUACACUGGAGGACAACAGUUAGAAAUGACUGCUAAUACUCCAUACUCCUUCUUAACACAAGUUAAGCAGGGAAAGUUUUUUCGGUGUAGGAUGAGACUAUAUUGUAUCAGCUAGUUGGUGAGGUAAUGGCUCACCAAGGCUUUUGACGCAUAACUGGUCUGAGAGGAUGAUCAGUCACACUGGAACUGAGACACGGUCCAGACUCCUACGGGAGGCAGCAGUAGGGAAUAUUGCUCAAUGGGGGAAACCCUGAAGCAGCAACGCCGCGUGGAGGAUGACACUUUUCGGAGCGUAAACUCCUUUUGUUGGGGAAGAACAAUGACGGUACCCAACGAAUAAGCACCGGCUAACUCCGUGCC
rnacentral:rRNA from 1 species